GGGGAUGUAAAGGUUUCGACGGGGAUUUCAAACCUUGGUAAGCGAGCGGCGGUGCGGAACCGCCAUAAAAUCCGCAACUUUAAAAUUAACUGACAACAAAACAGUUGCUUUAGCAGCCUGAGUGCUGCUCGUUCCUGCACAGAGUACCUCGGCUGUGUAAGGAGCGUCGAUUAGAGGUAAAUGUGAACAGGGGAGCGCUCCGAACCCUGUCACAGCUUAGGAGCUGCCAAAGUGCAUAGCCUGUUGAUGGGCGAUGCACCGAGGGAGAUUUAAAACACCAACUGCGCUCGGAGAAACCCUUGGCAAGAUUUUUUCGGACAGGGGUUCGAUUCCCCUCAUCUCCACCA
rnacentral:tmRNA from 2 species